GAUGCCUUGACACUGAAAGAAAAAACGUUUUUAACGAAAAGUCUGUUUAUGUUAGUAAAUAACUAAAAACAUUCGUUUUACUGGGGGAAACCCUUUCUUUUAAAAAGAAUUUUGUAAAUAGGGUGAAUUGAAACAUCUUAGUAACCCUUAAAAAAAUCAAACGAGACUUUGUUAGUAGUGGCGAGCGAACGCAAAGAAAGGAUAAAUGACAUUUCAAAGAUUAUCUUGAAUUUUUACCAAAGAAGGUUUUAGUCCUGUAAAGUGAUCUUGUCAUUUGAUUAAGUACACCGAUUUUUCUUGGUGGAAUAUUGGGGAACCACCCUCAAUCCUUGAACUUUCAGUGAUCGAUAGCGUAAAAGUACCGUGAGGGAAAGGUGAAAAAAGCUCUUUAUAGAGAUGAAAUUCCUGAAACUUGUUGUUAAAAUUCUGUCGAAGUUUUUUUAACGACGGCGUACCUUUUGUAUAAUGGACCAGCGAGUUUUUAUUUUUGGCAAGCUUAAGCUUUAAAUAAGUGUAGGCGUAGUUAAAUCGAAUGUUAAUGCAUUUUUUAGUCAAAGGUAAAAGACCCGAAACUAAGUGAUCUAAUCAUGAGCAGGUUGAAGAAUUUUCAGUAAUGAGAUUUGGAGGACCGAACCCGUGUAUGUUGCAAAAUACUGGGAUGACUUGUGAUUAGGGGUGAAAGGCCAAUCAAACUUAGAUAUAGCUGGUUUUCCGCGAAAUCUAUUUAAGUAGAGCGUUUUUAUUUUGAUUUAAUGGGGUAGAGCACUCAAUAAGCUAGGGGGGCCUACAGCCUUACCAAACUUAAUGAAACUCCGAAUACGUUAAAUUGUAAAAGCAGACAGACAUUGGAUGCUAAGGUCCUUUGUCGAGAGGGAAACAGCCCAGAUUUACCGAUAAGGUCUUUAAUGAAGCUUAAGUGAAAAAGGUGUCAUUCUACUCAAACAAUCAAUAAGUAGGCUUGGAAGCAGCCAUCUUUGAAAGAAAGCGUAACAGCUCGUUGAUCUAGUUUUUUGGCCCUGAAGAUUUAUAGAGACUAAAAGUUUCAACCGAAUCGUAAAAUUCUAAAUAUUUUUAUUUAGUCUGGUAGCGGAACGUUCUGUAUUUUGUUGAAGCAUUGUUGUCAGAUAGUGUGAAGAAAUCAGAAGUGACUAUGCUGGUAUGAGUAGCGAUAAAUGAUGUGAAAAACGUCAUCGCCGUAAGCCCAAGGUUUUUGAAGCACGGCUAAUCCACUUCAAUGAAAAAUUUGAUUUUUCAACUAAAGACGGCCCCUAAAAAGUUAUGGGCGAAAGCUCUGUUUGAUGGGAAUACUUUUAAGUAUCUUUUAAUGCGUGACAAAAGUUAAAGUUUAUUCUGUUUUUACAGGGUUCAUAAAAUUUUUCAAGAAAUAGCCCAUUAAAAAAUAAAACCGUACUGUAAACCGACACAGGUGGGCCGGUCGAGCAGACUAAGGCGCUUGAGAUAACUUUGUUGAAGGAACUCGGCAAAAUGUCCCCGUAACUUCGGAAUAAGGGGAGACUUUAUUAGGUAACCCUUUUAAAGUCGGCACAGAAUCGGGGGGAGCAACUGUUUAGCAAAAACACAAGUCUCUGCUAAUUUGUAAAAAGAUGUAUAGAGGCUGACGCCUGCCCGGUGCUGCAAGGCGAAGGUACUAUGGUUUUGGCUAUGGUUCUGAACCCCCAGUAAACGGCGGCCGUAACUCUGACGGUCCAAAGGUAGCGAAAUUCCUUGUCGGGGAAGUUCCGACCCGCACGAAAGGC
rnacentral:rRNA from 1 species